rnacentral:rRNA from 1 species
UACAGAGGUCCCGAGCGUUGUUCGGAUUCAUUGGGCGUAAAGGGUGCGUAGGCGGCGGGGCAAGUCUGAUGUGAAAUCCCGGGGCUCAACCCCCGGAACUGCAUUGGAUACUGCCUUGCUUGAGUACUGGAGAGGGAACUGGAAUUUACGGUGUAGCAGUGAAAUGCGUAGAGAUCGUAAGGAAGGCCAGUGGCGAAGGCGAGUUCCUGGACAGUAACUGACGCUGAGGCACGAAGGCCAGGGGAGCAAACGGG